GUAUGAGGGGCAUGUACUGCCAACAUGUGGUUUUUGUGGAAAAAAGGUGAUACUUUUAUUAUCAAGGAGCACUACUUCUGGUUGUUCAUUUAAUUUACUACCAGAAAAAAUUGUGCAUUAAAGGAAAUAGAACUUGAGAUAAAUGAGAAAAAAAAUCUAAUACAAGCAUUGGAUGUCCUAUUGAGCAGAAAACCGACCCCUUCUCAGAGCUGAAAUAACUGAAACUCUCUUUUAACAUGUUAAUUGGCUUCCUCUGCUUGCUCCCUCUUAGGCUUACUCAGUAUUCCGGAAAAUUCUCAAAGCCUCCCCUCCCUCAGGCCUUUAAUGUUGCAAUUCCCAGGCUGGGGUCCCCUCUAUCUCUUCACCGAUCCUAAUAGUUCAAGGUCCUCCUGGCAUUCCUCUUCCUCCUGAGACCUCCUUUCCUCUGCUUGCCUCUUCACUGCUUCUUGAGUUGUUUCAGUUAAAUUUUAUUUAUUUAUUUAUUUAUUUAUUUAUUUAUUUAUUUAUUGUCUUUUUAGGGCCGCACCCAUGGCAUGUGGAGGUUCCCAGGCUAGGGGUCGAAUCGCCUCUGGCCUACGCCACAGCCACAGCAACCCGGGAUCCAAGCCGUGUCUGUGACCUACACCACAGCUCAUGGCAAUGCUGGAUCCUUAACCCAUUGAGCGAGGCCAGGGAUCAAACCCUCAUCCUCAUGGAUUCUAGUCAGAUUCGCUGACGGGAACUCCCAUGUUUCAGUUAAAUUUUAAGCCGUGUAGGAGCAAGGACCCUGCCUUGUAUUUUAAAAAUGUCACAUCCCUUGCAGUGCCUGUGUAUAGCUCAGGACACAUAGUGGAUGUAAAUUGAAUACAUUUUAUCUGAUGGUUUGAAGACCUUCAUUUUACUUGGCCUGAAAAUCAGGCAGAUUUGUCAAGACUUUUAUCCCUUUCAAAAUAUGAUUUAUUAGUAUUACUGACUUUGAGAAAAACUCUGCUGCUCUUAUGUUUUAAAAUUUCUCUGCUCAUGUAAGUCUGUGAGGUUAAUGCCGGGCAGCCUCCGAUAGUGGUCAUUAGGUGUGCUUUUAUAUACAAUAGAGAAGGCAGGCAGAAGCAAUUAAAACCCAUCUGGAAUCGGAAAGGUGGUAGAAACAAGCUAGAAAAUAAAUUCAUAAACACUGUAUACUUUGUUGUUACCCUGAAGAAUCAUCCCAGAUGUACUAGAUAACAGCUUCAAAUUCCCAUGACGUUAAACAAGCAGAGCUUCCAGAAAAGAAUCAUUUUUGUCUUGCCUGUUUUUCUUGAUUCAACAAAAAAAACAACCUGGAAAAGGAUCGAAGGGUAGUGGCCAAAGGAAAAAGGAAAACCCCAAACCCAGAAGGCCAUGUGUGUGCAAUGACCUUUUAAUUCAAUCUCUUUAUCUGCCGCUGUUUGGGCUUCAGGAAAGAGGGUUCUUCGUGUUGUCUCUGCCAGAUCUGCUGUAGCUUUUCUUUCUGUUUUUAAAAGUCUCUCAGCAGAUGCUAUCUUCUAAAAAAAAAAAACAAAACAAAACAGCAUAAACCCACAGAACUCCCCCCAUCCCAUCCCGAACCAGCCACACUCUGACAUCAGGAAAGAACAAUUCUUUUUUCUUUUUUCUUCUCCAUGUCCAGUGGUAGCUUGGGUGUGUGCUUAGAUUCAGAGUUUUUUUAUUUCAGGGUAUAUACAUUAUGUUCUUUGCAAAUCCUCAUGGGUAAUGUAGAUAAGGUGGCUUUCUACUAAUUACUGCAUAAAUCAUUACAGUAGCUACAUAAUAGGGAUUGUUGAUAGAUGAAAUUCUUAUUGAAAAUGAAGUACGGUCACCAUUCUCUAUUCUCUUGGAAAGAAUGGUACCUGUAUGAGGCAAGUAGGCUUGGUUUGUCCUGUUUUCGAUUUAAUCCUUCCUUCUUUUCCUUCCUUCUUUCCUUGACUUCCAUUUCUCCUUCCCUAUUUUCAGCCUGCUAUGCAGUGAUUCUAAAGUAUAAUGACCUCUCGGUAUCUUCUUAUUUGCCCACUUCAUAUAGAAAGCAGCUGCCUUUUAGCUUAUGUACACACAAUCUGAAUCUUUAAAAAGUUGGUCUCCCAUGUUUAGCUCCACUCUGUGUGAUCCUCUUUAACGUCUGUUUCAUUGUGUCACAUAGAUUUUCCACAUAUUUUAACAUGCAUUUUCCUUCAGUCCUUGUUGAAUUAAAUCUCAUUGCUCUGUAAUUCUUGCUGAUGAUUCUUUUCAGGAAUGCUGUCAUAUUAAAUUUUAAAAAAUACCUGGGAAAUAAUAUAAGACAUGUUUUGAUUUUGCAAGAAAAUGGAUGUGAUUUUUUUCCAAUCUCUGCCCAACUAUUUGAGAAAAAUUGGAAAAUGGAAGCUAAAUAAUGGCUAAUAUGUAUUCCAGUAAGUAAUGAGGCAUAUUAAACCAUCACUCCUAAAGCCCCUGGCAUUUCUCUAUCAUGAUAGAGACCAGUGACAAAUAAUAGUGCAUCUGUGAUACUGUAUCAAUAACAUUAUCAAUAAUUAGCUGAAGUUGUGAAUACCCUUGGUUUUGAAACCAGCUUUGAAACCCAAAUGUAAUAAGAAUGGAACAAUUAAGAGAGUGAAGAAAACACAGAAUAUGUCAAACUGGGAAUGAGGGAAGGACCUAGGACUGUUUAUCCUGCAGAAGAAGAGAUCAAAAUGAGAUGUGAAAGAGGGUGCAGACUCUGUCCAUAUCGUCCCUCUGGGCUUUUUGGGUUUGCUGCCUUCUAGAAAUAGUCUAGCAAGGUUGAGUGACUAAACUUCAGGAAUGUGACAAACAAUUCUUUCGCUGGGUGAGAGCACAGGGCAGAUGGUAUCUGUGGUCUGUGCGUUAGAAAUGGGGAGAGUUCUGAGUUGCUAGCUGACAAAAAGGCAGGAUGUUAUUGGGAUCAUUGAUGGAAGUCUUGCUUUGAACUCUUCUGAUGGCUUGGGGCUGUGACCCCAUCUCCUUUAGCAGGUUCCCCUGCUCCCUGUCUGCUAUGAGUUGUGAGGCCUUUGUUGACUUUAAAAAAAUGCACAAAAAAGUGCUCUGAAAGUUGAGAGGUAAGUUUUAUUUGGGGCAAAAUUAGGACUUAAGCCCGGGAGACAGCAUCUCAGGUAGCCCUGAGAUACUGCUUAGAGGAGGCGGGCGGCAGGGAGGAAGCUAGGAUAUAUGAGUUUUUGCAAAAAAAAGAAGGUAUUAGGAACAAAAGAUUUACAGCGAAAGAGUUACAGAAAACCCCGUUGCUAUGGGAAGAUGUAAAGGUCUGGGCUUACUGGAAUCACACCUCAGCUGUGGGCCAGUCUUCUUUGUGUCUUUCCUGAGUUCCCUCAGGGCUCACUGGCCCACCUUUGGGAGUGGCUGUUCUCACAGAUGACUGCGACAUCUUUUGUUUUGCCUACCUAACUACAGCCCAGGAGGCAGUAUUUCAAAUAGCUCUGCCCCAAAGAGGAAAGGGGAAAUAUCAAAAUAUACCUGAUAACAGUGAAGGGGGAGGUGCAUGCAGCCAUGCACACAUUCUACAGAAGUUUUCUGCUGAUUUUGUGAAGGUUACUACGAGUCACAGACAUCAGUCAUCAUUGAAGGAUUUUAGUGUUUUUCUAGAUAUAAGGAGAUGCAGGAAUUGGGCUCACAAAAUCCUCUCCUAAAAAUAUCUAACCAUCUGAAGACCUGUUCUUCCAGUUUUCCCAGAGGAGAAAGGGUCUUACUCCUGGUCUCCACCCUGAGCUCCUCUCAAGGGGGCGCUGCGGGUCAGCAGUUGCAGUGAGUCAUGUUUUACUUCACGUAGAGGCCGAUGGCAAGUGCCAAACUCCAGUUCACACUGUGGUCCCUGGUGGCCGACAGGGAGCUCUGCGAGUCUGCACUGGAAAAGUGGGCAGCAGGAAGCCUAGGAGGGGCACCCAGGCGGGGCUCAGCCAGUUGGGGUUGAACUUUUUGUUUAGUCAACUGAUGAGGAAAUUUAUUGGUAUUUGGCCUACAUAUUUCUUCCACUGGGAUCACAAGAAUUUUCCUCCCAGUAACUUUAAAGAAGUCGGGAAGGUGAAGGUCACGGCAUUUGUAGAAGUUGUCAAAGAACACUCUUAGAAAAGCUCUAGGCCCUCUCAGGGAGACCCUGAGUGUGCUGUAAACAUCAGUUGGGACCUGGCUGUCAUGGAGACUUUCAUUGUUUUGUCAUCAAUGAGACAAGGCAUCAUAGAAACAUCUUUUCUUGUGGUGGCUUAGGUGUAGCAAGCUAAUAAUUAGGAAGAAAAUAAAAGGCAAGUGUGGGCUUGGGAGAGUGAGAGAAAUGGUAUGAGAAAUACAUGGAUGUAUUGAGAGGAAAGGAGAGCAAUCAUUGUAGGAUGGGAGUUUGAAAUGUGGAAAGAAGGGAGAAAACAUAGAUGUUCUUUGGAUGUUCACAGAUCAAAGAACUAGAACUAGAAAAUGAGACUGACUUCUAGAAACAGAAUCAUUUUGACGAAGUAAGAGAAGAAGCAAUGGAGAUAAUUUUAUGUCAUCCUCCCUGUGACAUAAGACUGUUCUUUGGUGAAAGCUGUAUUUAUCAUCUGGCCUGUCCAAGCUCUAGAAGUAGGCAUUUGUUAUGGCCUUUUUUUUCAGUAUAGGACCUGGGUGGGUCAGUCAUAGUGAUAACAUACUUAAAGUAAACUUGAUUUAAAAAAAAAUCAGUUACAUGUCUGCAUCUAUUAACUUCAAGCUCCCAAUCCAUCCCACUCCCGCCAAUGGGAAUGUAAGCUGGUACAACCACUAUGGAGAAUAGUAUGGAGGUACCUUAGAAAACUAUACAUAGAUCUACCAUAUGACCCAGCGACCCCACUCUUGGGCAUAUAUCUGGACAAAACUUCCCUUGAAAAAGACACAUGCAUCUAUCUGCAUGUUCAUUACAGCACUAUUCACAAUAACAAAGACAUGGAAACAACCCAAAAGUCCAUCAACAGAUAUUUGGAUUAGGAAGAUGUGGUAUAUAUACACAAUGGAAUACUACUCAGCUAUAAAAAAGAACAAAAUAAUGCCAUUUGCAGCAAUAUGGAUGGAGCUAGAGACUCAUACUGAGUAAAGCAAGUCAGAAAGAGAAAGACGAAUACCAUAUGAUGUCACUUAUAUCUGGAAUCUAAUAAAUGGCACAAAUGAACCUUUCCACAAAAAUGAAACUCAUGGACUUGCAGAAUAGACUUGUGGUUGCCAAGGGGGAGGGGGGGGGUGUGGGAUGGAUUGGGACCUUGGGGUUAAUAGAUGCAGCUAUUGCCUUUGGAAUGGAUUAGCAAUGGGAUCCUGCUGUGUAGCACUGGGAACUAUGUCUAGUCACUUAUGUUGGAGCAUGAUAAUGUGAGAAAAAAAGAAUGUAUAUGUGUAUGUGUGACUGGGUCACCAUACUAUACAGUAGAAAAAUGUAUUGGGGAAAUAACAAUCAAUUCUUAAUUGAUUACAAUUAAGAAUACUUGAUAAGAAAAAAAAUUUUAAAACUAUGUAUUAAAAAAAGAAAUAAAGGCUAAUAUGUCAUAUAAAAAAUCAGUUAAAGAUAGGUUUGCAUCCCAUCCCAAAUUAUUGUCACAUUGGUAGAAAUUGGAAAGCUUAAGAAGUCCAUGAAAAGGUGAGCUUUUUUUUUUUCCUUUAAUACAAUUUGAUUGGAAACACAAGAACCCAGAGGGGGUUUUAAAAACUGGUAGCGACAGUAGUAAAAUACCUGUGAAUGAUACACUGGGGCAGAGCCAUAGACCAGUGUAAGUCUCAAGUCUCCUGGAGAGGAGGAAUGAUGCUCAAAUUUGUGGAAGGGAAAAGGGAAGUCAUGCUUGUUGAGUACCAGCAUUGUGUCAGGUACUAGGCUGAGUACUUUACAUUCAUGAUCUCUUUUAUUCAUCACAACCCCAAUAUUUAGUAGUAUUAUUAUUAUUACUAUUUUGCAAAAGAGGAUACUAUGGUUCCAUCACUUAGAAAAAAAUAUAUUGAUUGUAAUUUUUAAUUUUUAUUUUAUUUUAAAAAAUUUUUGUCUUUUUAGGAGUUCCCUUCCUGGCUCAGCGGUUAACAAAUCUGACUAGCAUCCAUGAGGAUGCAGGUUCGAUCCCUGGCCUUGCUUAGUGGGUUAAAGGAUCAGGCAUUGCCAUGAGCUAUGGUGUAGGUUCCAGAGGCAGCUUGGAUCCCGCAUUGCUGUGGCUGUUGUGUAGGCUAGCAGCUACAGCUCUGAUUCGACCUCUAGCCUGGGAACCUCCAUAUGCCACAGGUGUGGCCCUGAAAAACAAAAAAUAAAAAUAAAAAACUUUUGUUUUUUUAGGGCGUCACCCACAGGAUUGGAAGUUUCUAGGCUAGGGGACCAGUCAGAGCUACAGCUGCUGGCCUGCACCACAGCCAUAGCAACACAGGAAGCAACCUACACUGUGGCUCACAGCAACGUCAGAUCCUUAACCCACUUAGUGAGGCCAGGGAUGGAACUCACGUCCUUAUGGUUACUACCACUGAGAACUCCUAACAAUAAUUUUUUAAACUAUAUUUUCCAUUCAUUAAGUGUCUGGGAUGUGGAUUCAAAUCUAAGUUUUGAGGGAGAACUCCUAACAAUAAUUUUUUAAACUAUAUUUUCCAUUCAUUAGGUGUCUGGGAUGUGGAUUCAAAUCUAAGUUUUCUCUGGCUUGUCUUUCAAGUCCAUGAGAUUUCUUUUGAGAAAUUGCCAGCUCCUCUUUUCUGUGAGAGUAUAUUGAAAUCCUGCACUUCUACUGUUGCAGCCACUUAGCUCCUACUUACCUCAACUAAGAUGGUAAGGAGGACCAGAGACCUCCAAGCCAUGGUGCCCUGCCGUCCUGAAGCGUCACCUGCAGCUCCCGAUGGUAACACCUAUUGCAACUUGGUUAAGCCUGUAGGCAGACAGUGUGACAACUCACCUGUCCUUCUACUGACUCAGUUUAGCAGCUCUCACAUUUGGGAGGAAGAAUCCUAGGGGAAGCAGAAUGGUCCUGAUGUCUCUCCUAAAGGUCCCAUCUCAGGAUGUUGUUACAGACUGAAUUGUAUCCUCUUCCUGCCCCAGUUCAUUUGUUGAAGCUAUGACUCCCAAUAUGAUUAUUUUUGGAGAUAGGGCCUAUGAGGAAGUAAUAAGGGAUUGAUGAAUCAUAAGAGUAGGUCCUCAAUCCAAUAGGACUCACGAUUUUAUAAGAGGAAAAGAUAGCAGAUCUGCCUGUCUGUCUCUCUGUCUGCCAGUACACAGAGAAGAGGCCAUGUGAGGAUAUAGUGAGAAGGUGGCUGUCCACAACCCAGGAAGAGAGGCCUCACUAGACACCAACCUCAUAACACCAUGAUUGUGGACUUUUAGUCUCAAGAACAGUGAGAAAAUAAAUUUCUGUUGUGUAAGCCACCCAGUCUGUGGUAUUUUGUUAUGGCAGCCUGAGCUGCCUAGUACAGGUGGCUUCAGUCAAAAGCUAAGCCCCAGACAAGGAUUUGAGUACCAAUCAUUUCUGUGGGUUGGGGUCCCAGAGCCAUUGUGAGAUAGCGGGGGAAUCAAAGAAGGGAGGGAAACCAAUGAAGAGUGUGGUAAUGAGUAGACUGGGGCUGUGCAGAAUUGGGCCUCCCUUCUUGUGGGGGGCUUCUGAAGGACUGUGGAACGCAUCUCAGAAUCCUCCUACUGCAGAGUCCAUAUCCACCGACUCCUACCCCUCAUCGUUUGAGGGUCCCUCCUUGGGCAGUUUUCAGGAGGGACCCAAACUUGUCCCACCAUCAGAGAUUGCCGGCACAGGCAGAGCAACACAAAAAGCCAUUUAAGUAUGAAUAGUCUUUUAGUUAUCUCUUGGCUAGGCAGGGGGUGACCUUACAAACAAAUGGUUGACUUCUGUCUUAAAAAGAAAUCACUGGCAAUGAGAUCUGUUGUAUAGCACAGGCAACUAUAUAAUCUAAUCACUUGUGAUAGAAUGUGAUAGAAGAUAAUGUGAGAAAAAUAAUGUAUAUGUAUGUAUGAUUGGGUCACUUUGCUGCACAGCAGAAAUUGACAGAACAUUGUGAUUCAAUCAUAAUAAAAAUUUUAAAAAAUGACAAUUAUAAAACCUGUGAAAAGUAUUAUUUAUAUAUGUAUGUAUAAAAAUAAAAUUUAAAAAACAUAGGUAUCAUUCUUUAUCUCAGUUGAGUCAUCUACUAUUUAUCUGUUUCUAAGGAAAUGGCCCAAGAUUUUCUUGAAGCAUAUCACAGUAGAUUAAAAGCUAAUAAAUAAAAGUAAAAAAAAAAAA
rnacentral:lncRNA from 1 species